AACGAACGCUGGCGGCAGGCCUAACACAUGCAAGUCGAGCGCGCCCUUCGGGGUGAGCGGCGGACGGGUGAGUAACGCGUGGGAACGUGCCCUUCUCUGCGGAAUAGCCUCGGGAAACUGAGAGUAAUACCGCAUACGCCCUUUGGGGGAAAGAUUUAUCGGAGAAGGAUCGGCCCGCGUUGGAUUAGGCAGUUGGUGGGGUAAUGGCCCACCAAGCCGACGAUCCAUAGCUGGUUUGAGAGGAUGAUCAGCCACACUGGGACUGAGACACGGCCCAGCCUCCUACGGGAGGCAGCAGUGGGGAAUCUUAGACAAUGGGGGCAACCCUGAUCGAGCCAUGCCGCGUGAGUGAUGAAGGCCUUAGGGUUGUAAAGCUCUUUCAGCUGGGAAGAUAAUGACGGUACCAGCAGAAGAAGCCCCGGCUAACUCCGUG
rnacentral:rRNA from 1 species